GACGAACGCUGGCGGCAGGCCUAACACAUGCAAGUCGAACGAGUGGCGGACGGGUGAGUAAUGUCUGGGAAACUGCCCGCUGGAGGGGGAUAACUACUGGAAACGGUAGCUAAUACCGCAUACCAUCGGAUGUGCCCAGAUGGGAUUAGCUAGUAGGUGGGGUAACGGCUCACCUAGGCGACGAUCCCUAGCUGGUCUGCGAGGAUGACCAGCCACACUGGAACUGAGACACGGGCCAGACUCCUACGGGAGGCAGCAGUGGGGAAAAUUGCACAAUGGGCGAAAGCGUGAUGCAGCCAUGCCGCGUGUAUGAAGAAGGCCGUCGGGUUGUAAAGUACUUUCAGCGAGGAGGCGUUACUCGCAGAAGAAGCACCGGCUAACUCCGUGCCAGCCGCCGCGGUAAUUC
rnacentral:rRNA from 1 species